CCAAAGAGAAACGGAGAGUUUUGCAGAGGGAGCGGCAAAGGCAAAGGAGAGACUUCUGGCCAGGCAGCAAGCAGCACGUGAUGCAAUUGGGUUCCGUAUGGGGCCAAAAAAGUUUAAAGUGAAAUCAAAUAAAAAUCGAUAGGGUCGCUUGCCUAGGAAAAGAGUCAUUCCAUCUGGAACUCCACCAAAAACGUGCGCGCAGGCCGUGAAAAGUUUCAGAUUCGAAUCCCGCGUUCCCCUCCACACAAAAAAAAAGCAUACGCAAACGAGUGGGCCAGCGUUAUAUAACACAGAGGCACAGGCACAGGCUCAGGUUCAGGUUCACCCUCCCACACAAAAACUGCUUGCUCAAUCGAUAGACUGCCCUGUCUGCCUCACUGCCUCCCAAUCCAAGAUGAUGUGUGCUUUUAAUUAGAUUAAAGCCCAGGGAUUAGCCACAGCAACUAGAGAGGAGAACAGCACACCUGCCACCAGUUUAAUCCAAAGCAAAGCCAACACACGAAAUGGGAAAGAAAAAGACGGCCACAGAGGAUCUGGUUGUGCCACCACAGGACACCAGGAUCUGUGGCACCAUCUGCAUCUGCCAGAUGACACUGGUGCUCAGUUCCGUGGCUCUGGUCUACCUCACGGUGGCCAUCUACAUGCCGUCCACGCGUGCCUUCAAGAGCGGCAUCGACCCCACUCCCGUGAUGUGCACCACCACGCGGGCGUUGAACAAGGACAACUGCGAGUGGGGCAGCUGCGGGGAGUGGUGCCUGAGCAAGACGUCGGGUGCCUGCAUCCAGAUCUACGUGAAUCUGCGCAGCAAUGGCUCCAAUCUCAUCUUCCAGAACUGCACGAAUUCGGCGAACAAGACGUGCUACGGCAUCGACCAGGAUCGGGCGGACAAGGCGCGCUGCAUCAAUGACGAGUGCAAGAAUCUCACAGGGACAUUCAACUGCACCGCCGGCCAGUGCCUGAACAUCACGGACGCCUUCGAGUGCAUCUUCCACAACAGCGAUGCACCGGUCAAGUGUUCCGGUCGUCGCGGCAAGAUCAACUGCAUGGACAUCAGCGGGCUGUACUCGUGCAGCCGUGGGACAUGCCGCAAGAUCCGCACACCCUACAAUUGCGACCGCCGGUGCGUGGACAUCCCGACCAGGAACAAGAACGUUGUGGUGCUCAGCGGGGACAAGGUCUAUCUGUCGAGUUGCCAGAAUGCCAUCAAUGCGGAGACCCUGGAGGAGGUGUGGAACGAGUCGAGCGAGAAUGUGGCCAUGACCUCGUGCUACUACAUCAAGGCCACCUCGGAUCGCGUGGAUGCGGUGGACUGCAUCAAUGGGUCGACGCUGGAGCACAAUAUGCUCAGUGAUCUGACCAAUUUCACAUAUCUGAGCCAUCUGCACGUUUCGGUGGCCACGCCCGUGCCGGAAAUAGCACCGCCCGAUGUCGAUCUGACCAUCUCCAAUGAGUCCAAGCUGAUGAUCAAUCUCGAGGGGUGCGUCAACACCCUCAUGGACGAGUGCAAGGAGUUCCUCAAGGACUUUGGCCGUGAUGGCAGCGAUCAUAAUGCGCGCGCACGCUUCCCCUGUUUCUACUCGCCCGGCAAGAAGGAAAUAGUGGUGGCCCGCUUCGACCUGGAGGUCACCUAUCGCCAGUUUGUGUUCGCCUCGGUGGUGCCAUCGGUGCUUUUCGUUGUCUCCUGCUCCAUCCUGCUGAUGUGCCAGAAGACCGUCUACGUGGGCGACGACGCCAAGAUGCGUUUCAAGGGUUGCGUCGACACGGAGACCAUCCUCAAUAAGAACAACGUCGGUGCACCCACCAACGGCGACAUGGGUGGGGGCGGUGGCGAUGAGGUUAUGGCCCUAUGAGAUCCGUCACGUAAGCAAUAAUACCGCCUUUGCCAUUGCCCACAUGUGAAAGAGCAAUCUGUUCAGAUUCGGUUUCAGGCUACCAGGCAUUCCUCUGCUCCAGGAAGACAGUCCGAUACAUCAGACUGGAGUCUUCGCUUUGCAAUAAGUUGGAAGUUGGCCACAACAACCAGAAGAAGAGCACAAUCGAGCAACUUGACAUUCUUUGCAAUCCUUCCAUUGAACUUUUAACAAACGACCACAACAACACAGCCACACCGACACCCACAGCCACAGCCACACCAACCCAGAGGCUUGCAAGGACACUACUGAGCUAACAGCAGAAAACCUAGAAAACCUGAAACAGAAACUUGAAACUGAAACACCACGAGGCAAGGAGAAGGCGCGUAAAAUUAACUCAAAAUACGACGAUCAACUCGAUCAGAAGACAAUAUUAGUAUAAUUUUUUGGAUUAGUUCGUUAUUAGUUGAGUUAUUUGUAUUUGUAUUUGUAUUUGCAUUGGAUUAGAGCCAGAGGCUUUAGGAUAUGUGAUGUAGGUAGAAACGGACAGGGAGAAAACAGGGCGUCAGAGCGAGAAUUGAUUCAAUAUUUAUUGUUAAUUAUGCAGCUAAGUUUUUUCUAGGGAAUAAACGCACACCACAAACAAACACACACACACACAUGCACAGGGACACAAGAACACACACCCGCACACAGACACCAGGAGCAGAAGCAGAAGCAGCAGAGGAAGAAGGAGGAGGAGGAACAGAAUCCAAAUCCGAAUCCGAAUCCGUAGAAAGGUUCAGGAGAAGGAGGUCAUUUCAGAAUUGGUCCAAACAACAAAACAACAACAGCUUAAGAAGAAGAUUAGGAGGGAUGCGUGAUCAAAAAAUAAAAAAAAAUCUAUAAUCUAUAAAUAAAAACGGAACGACAAAAACUAUUCAAAGUCGAAGACGAAGCAAAAGUUAACCUUAAAACAGAAACC